rnacentral:rRNA from 1 species
UAACUACUCGAAAGAGUAGCUAAUACCGCAUACGAUCUGAGGAUGAAAGCGGGGGACCUUCGGGCCUCGCGCGAUUGGAGCGGCCGAUGGCAGAUUAGGUAGUUGGUGGGAUAAAAGCUUACCAAGCCGACGAUCUGUAGCUGGUCUGAGAGGACGACCAGCCACACUGGGACUGAGACACGGCCCAGACUCCUACGGGAGGCAGCAGUGGGGAAUUUUGGACAAUGGGCGAAAGCCUGAUCCAGCAAUGCCGCGUGCAGGAUGAAGGCCUUCGGGUUGUAAACUGCUUUUGUACGGAACGAAAAAGCUCCUUCUAAUACAGGGGGCCCAUGAUGGUACCGUAAGAAUAAGCACCGGCUAACUACGUGCCAGCAGCCGCGGUAAUACGUAGGGUGCGAGCGUUAAUCGGAA